UAAGCGUGUGAUGAAAUUUUAGGGCUCAAUCCUGAGACUGUUAUGCGAACUGUAAAGCUAGAGUAUAUGAGGGGUAGCUGGAAUUCAUAGUGUAGGAGUGAAAUCCGUAGAUAUUAUGAGGAACACCAAUGGCGUAGGCAGGCUACUGGCAUAUUACUGACACUGAGGCACGAAAGCGUGGGAGCGAACGGGAUUAGAUACCCCGGUAGUCCACGCCGUAAACGAUGGAUGCUA
rnacentral:rRNA from 1 species